rnacentral:pre_miRNA from 1 species
UCAACAGAACUCAGUUGGCAGUAUGCCCACCUCCAUAUAUCAUCAGAAUGAAAUUUCUUAACAGGAAUGGAGGUGGACAGAAUGCCAAUAAAUUCUGGUAG